rnacentral:misc_RNA from 1 species
CUAUGUUGGUGAGUGGGAAGAUGAUACUGAUGAGUAUGAGGUUUUCCCACUAAGUGAUGGACAUCAUAUACCAAGUAACGCAAGAAACCAGGGAAGUGAUGUUUCACUUGAGUCAAAACCAAAAAACAGUCAGAAAAAUAUAUUAAAAAAUUCAGGAAAGUUACCUGUGUGUAGUUCGUUUCCUUCCUGGGCACCUGCUAAAUUAAAUGGAGAACAAUGUCUAGGAACGUCAAGCAAGAAGAAGAGUCCUCAAGAAG